GUAGACAACUUGCCCAAAGAUUUGGGAUAACAUCGAGAAAUUGAUGCUAAUACCGAAUAACAUCACUUUGACCCCGGUCUUUGUGAUCAAAGGUGGCUUCGGCUACUGUCUCUGGAUGGGUCUGCGUCUGAUUAGCUAGUUGGUGAGGUAAUGGCUCACCAAGGCGACGAUCAGUAGCUGGUCUGAGAGGAUGAUCAGCCACACUGGGACUGAGAUACGGCCCAGACUCC
rnacentral:rRNA from 1 species